GUGGGGAAUUUUGGACAAUGGGGGCAACCCUGAUCCAGCAAUGCCGCGUGCAGGAAGAAGGCCUUCGGGUUGUAAACUGCUUUUGUACGGAACGAAAAGGCUCUGGUUAAUACCUGGGGCACAUGACGGUACCGUAAGAAUAAGCACCGGCUAACUACGUGCCAGCAGCCGCGGUAAUACGUAGGGUGCAAGCGUUAAUCGGAAUUACUGGGCGUAAAGCGUGCGCAAGCGGUUAUGUAAGACAGAUGUGAAAUCCCCGGGCUCAACCUGGGAACUGCGUUUGUGACUGCAUAACUAGAGUACGGCAGAGGGAGGUGGAAUUCCGCGUGUAGCAGUGAAAUGCGUAGAGAUGCGGAGGAACACCGAUGGCGAAGGCAGCCUCCUGGGCCAGUACUGACGCUCAUGCACGAAAGCGUGGGGAGCAAACAGGAUUAGAAACCCGAGUAGUCC
rnacentral:rRNA from 1 species